UACGGAGGGUGCGAGCGUUGUCCGGAAUCACUGGGCGUAAAGGGCGCGUAGGCGGAUGGCACAGUCAGAUGUGAAAUUCCCGGGCUUAACCUGGGGGCUGCAUUUGAUACGUGUUGUCUUGAGUUCGGAAGAGGGUCGUGGAAUUCCCAGUGUAGAGGUGAAAUUCGUAGAUAUUGGGAAGAACACCGGUGGCGAAGGCGGCGACCUGGUCCGACACUGACGCUGAGGCGCGAAAGCGUGGGGAGCAAACAGG
rnacentral:rRNA from 1 species